GUAGUCGUGGCCGAGUGGUUAAGGCGAUUGACUAGAAAUCCAUUAGGAUAUACCCGCUUAGGUUCGAAUCCUACUGACUACG